GUAAGUGUAGAGUGAGAGGGUAGUUGGGGGGAUUGAGAGCGCGUUGGGGGGGGCGAGUUAAAGGGAGUAAAGCACUCGGCCUGGGGGAGUGCGGUGGCAAGACUGAAAAUCAAAGGAAAUGGACGGGGGGCCCGCACAAAGGGUGGAGCAUGUGGUUUAAUUGGAAGCAACGCGAGGAACCUUACCAGGUCUGGACAUCCUCGGACAAUCCUAGAGAUAGGACGUCCCCUUCGGGGGCAGAGUGACAGGUGGUGCAUGGUUGUCGUCAGCUCGUGUCGUGAGAUGUUGGGUUAAGUCCCGCAACGAGCGCAACCCUUGAUCUUAGUUGCCAGCAUUCAGUUGGGCACUGUAAGGUGACUGCCGGUGACAAACCGGAGGAAGGUGGGGAUGACGUCAAAUCAUCAUGCCCCUUAUGACCUGGGCUACACACGUGCUACAAUGGACAGAACAAAGGGCAGCGAAACCGCGAGGUUAAGCCAAUCCCACAAAUCUGUUCUCAGUUCGGAUCGCAGUCUGCAACUCGACUGCGUGAAGCUGGAAUCGCUAGUAAUCGCGGAUCAGCAUGCCGCGGUGAAUACGUUCCCGGGCCUUGUACACACCGCCCGUCACACCACGAGAGUUUGUAACACCCGAAGUCGGUGAGGUAACCUUUAUGGAGCCAGCCGC
rnacentral:rRNA from 2 species